rnacentral:rRNA from 1 species
UACGUAGGGUGCAAGCGUUAAUCGGAAUUACUGGGCGUAAAGCGUGCGCAGGCGGUUAUGUAAGACAGAUGUGAAAUCCCCGGCGUUACCUGGACGUAGCAUUUGUUGACUGCAUAGCUAGAGUACGGUAGAGGGGAGUGAAGUUCCGCGUGUAGCAGUGAAAUGCGUAGAUAUGCGGAGGAACACCGACGGCGAAGGCAAUCCCCUCGG